GUACAUAGAAUAUAUAAAUAUUUUUAAGUUUGCAUACAAGAUGAUGGGUUUUGUUCUGGAAUUUUCAUACCUAUACACUAAUUUACUUUAUUCUUACUCAUUUCCCUCUCGCCAAAACCCUUCAUUAUACCAUAGUCCCCUUCCUGGUCCUUAUCUUCCCCCAGGGAGUACCUACUUUUGCCUUCAUAGCAAAUGUAUUCCACUACUCUUGUUUUCCUUCCUGUCUCUCUUAAAAUCUCUUAUUCUCCUCUCGCAGUCUCCUUUCUACUGUCAUAAGAAUUCCUACUUAAACAUAGACAAGUAUGUAUGAAUGUAAAUCUAGUGUACACAUAUGAGAGAGAACCUGGGGUACUUAUCUAUUAUUUUGCUUGACAUAAUUAUCUUCAAAGGCUUUCAUUUCAUGCAAAUGUCAUGAUUUCAUUUUUCUUCAUAUUACGUAUAUUUACCAUUAUUUCUUCAUUCCUUUGUCCACUGAUGGACAUCUAGGCUGGUUGGAGUCACUGCUGUGAACAGUGCAGCAAUAAACAUAGCUGUGAAGGUAUUUCUCUGUGGUAUGUUGACUUGAGUCCUUCAGAUAUAUACAUAGGAAUAGUGUAGUUGGAUCAUAUGUUAGUUCUGUUUUUAGCUUUUUGCGGAACCUCAGCACUGACUUUCAGAGUGGCUGUACCAGUUACAUUCUCACCCACAGACUAUAAGGACUACUCUUUCCCCACAUCUUCAUUAACAGUUACUAUCAUGUGUUGUCAUUUGUUUGCUUGAUAUUAGCCAUUCUUUAGGAGUUGGGGAUGGGGAUGGAUAGACUCUCAAAGAAGUUCCCUCUGCAUUUCCAUGAUGGUUAAAGAUGUUGAGUACUUUUUUCAGGUAUAUAGUAGAUAAUUGUAUUUCUUCUUUUGAGACUGGCUGCUCAUUUCAUUAGCAGACUGACUGAUUAGAUGGCUUCCCCUUUUGGUGUUCUUUGGGUGUUUCUUUAUAUAGGUUCCAAUCUCCUUUCCAGUGUACCAUGGACAAGGAUUUUGUUCCCAUUCUGUAAGCCGUCUCUUAGUGAUUAUUUCCUCUGUUGUGCUGAAGUUUUUAAAUUUCAUGUAAUCCUGUCAAUCUUGGAAUAAUUUUCUGUGUUUGAAAUCUUUUUCAGAAAGUCCUUGCCUAUCCCUGUAUAUUGGAGGGUUUUCUCUGUAUUUUCCCCUAGCACUUUCAGAGGUCUUUCAUUAAAGUCUUUGAGCCAUUCUGAAUUAAUUUUUGCAGAGGAUAAGAGAUAGGGAUCUAGUUUCAUUCUUCUAGAAGUGUGGAGCUAGAUUUCCUAGAACUAUUUAUUGAAGGGUGUUCUUUCUAAUGUAUGCUUUUGACAUCUGUGGCUAAAAAUAUGUGGAUUUAUUUAAUAAGUAUUCUACCACAUUGGUCAUUGUCCUCGAUUGCUUUCUAUUGCUGUCAUAAAUACUACAACCAGAAGCAACUUGGGAGGAAAGGGUGUAUUUCAUCUUACAGCUCUUAGUUCACAGUCCAUUGCUGAGGGAAGUCAGGAUAGGAAUUCAAGCAGGAACAUGGAGGCCCACACUGGAGCAGAGACUAUUGAGUCACGAUGCUUACUUGCCCUUUCCUUGUGGUUUUCUUAUAAAACCCAAGACCACCUUCCCAGAAAGUGGCACUGCCCACAGUGGGCUGGGCCCUUCCACAUCAGUUAUCUUUUAAUACAGAAAGUGCCCCUAGAGACUUUCCUACCAGUCAGUCAGAUGGAGGCAGUCCCUUGGUUGACAUUUCUGCCUUCCAGAUAUGUCUAGGUUUGUGUCACAUUGCCAACAACAACAGUCUGGGUAUCUGUUUUUGUAGUAGUGCCAGGCCACUUGGUUACUGUGGUUCUUAGUAUACAGUUUACCAUUAGGUAUUAGGAUACCCAAAACAUUGUUCUUCUCCUUGGGAUUGUUUUUUGGUCUUUUUUUGUAGAGACCCACAGAGGUUUCCUCAUGAGUACUUACUCGGAGUCGAGAAUCUGAGCUUGCUUUACCCAGCAGGACGUGGUUACCAUGUGUUUGGAAGGAUCUACACUUGGCUGUGUGGUGUGCUUUGAUCUAGCAAGGGGGAGAUCUUUGUUGUAAAAAGUCCUUUUGAAAAGGCAGAAGGGGCUGUUGCAUUUUGAUCCAGUUCCUCCCGAAGCUAUCCUGUGUUUCUAUCUUUCUCCUCUAUCUUCCUAUCUAAAAGUUUCUUAUCCCUCUCUCAUCCUCAUAGGACUCUUUUCAAAGGUAGGACCUGGCCUCCUACAUUUUUUAAAUUCUAUAUGAACUUCAAGAUACUUUUUUCUAUUUCUUUCAAGAAUGUGAUUGGGAUUUGGAUGGGAAUUGCAUUGCAUUGUAUAGCCAUUUUUGCAAUAUUGAAGGCUUAUGAUUUCCUUAUAUGACUAUGUAACUUGCUACUUUCUGGAAUGUGUUUGUCAGACAUAUCUAGGAGAAUUUUUGUGGAAUCAUUGGGUCUUUUAAGUCUAAGACACUGUCUUCUGUAAAUAAGGGUACUUUGAUGUCUUUCCUAUUUGUAUUCCUUUGGUUUCUUAUCUUAGCUCUACUGAGACUUCAAAUGUUGUAUUGAAUAAGAGUAGUGAGAAUGAAUACCAUUACCUCAUUUAUGUUGUUGAGUUUUUCCUCGUUUACUGUAUUUUGGCCUUAGGUUUAUUAUAUGUAGCCUUUAUUAUGUUGACAUAUUUCUCUGUUUCUAUUUUCUUUAAGACUCUGAUCAUGAAGGGAUGUUGAACUUUAUCAAAGAUUUAUUUUAUGUUUAUUGUGGGGAUCAUGUUAUUUCUUUCCUUUGGUCUUUUGUCUUUUAUAUUUGCUGAUUGUUAUAUUUUGGACUAUCCUUGAAUCCCUGAGAUAAAACCAACUAAGUAUGGUGUAUGAUCUUUUACAUAUACCUUUAAAUGUAAUUUGAAAGUAUACAUAUAAAUGUAUAUGUAAGGAGGGUUUGUUUUGGAGUUGCACACCCUUGCAUGUGGAGACCAGAGGCCAUUGUUGAAUAAUUUCCUCAAUCACUUCUCCAUCUUACCUUUUGAGAUAGGAUGUCUAAACCCAGAGAUCAUUGAUUUGGCUAAACUGGCUGGCCAGUGAGCUCUAGGGAUCUAUCUGCACCCCAAGCUCAACUGCUAUCACUAUCAGUAACCACAAUCCACUCCCUUCCCUGGUGUUGGAGUGACAGAUGGGUACUGUUAUGCCUGCUUUUUGUGGUUAGGAGAGGUCCAAAUUUAGAUCUUCAUGCUUGUGUGGAAAUCUCUUUACCAACUGAUCCAUCUCAUUAGCCCCAUGAUUUGGAGGUAUCUUAUUGGCAAUUGUUGCAUCUAUGUUCAUCAGGAAGAAAAAAUGGUUCUGUAGUGUUUUUGUUGUUGUGGGCUUAUCCAGUUUUAAUAGCAGGGUAAUAGUGGCUCUAUAUAGUGAAUCUGGUAGCUUUCCUUUCUUUUCCAUGCUGUAGAAUGAUUGGAGGAGUGUUCAUCUUUAGCUCUUCCCUCAGGGUUUGGUAGAAUUUGGUGUAAAUCCAUCUGGUCUUUGGCCUGCCUUUCUGGAAAGACUUUUUUCUUAUUAAUGUUUCAGUCUUCUUGUUAUGGAUUUAAGUUGCUUAUGUGUUCUUGAUUUAAUUUUGGUAUAUCAUGCAUGUCUAGGAAUUUGUCAGUUUCUUCUAGAUCUUCCUUUUCUUAUACAUUUUCUAAGCAUUCUCUGGUGUUCCUGGUUUUCACUGGAAUCUAUUUUAACCUCUCUUUCUGUCUUUGACUCUAUGUACUGUUAUUUUAGUUUCCAUUAAUUUCUAUCUUGAUCGCUACUAUUUAUUGCUACCUUGUUCUUUUAAGUGUAGCAUAUUCUUGUUCUUUUAACAAGGCAUUGAAGUAUCAAUAGGUCAUUUUUUUUAAUGUUAAAAAAGGGGGAUAUUUAAACUUUCCUCUUAGAAUUGCUUGAGCUGUUUUCCAAGGUUCUGGAAUGUUGUGCUUUAAUUCUUGUUUGGUUAUAGGAAUUAAAAAAAAAAUAUUCCUUGAGUUCUUUGGUGACUCUGGUCAUCACUCACAAUCCCCAAGAAUUUCUUUACUUUCUCUUGCUUUUGACUUUAGUUUUAUUCCACUGUGAUGAGGUGGGAAAUUAUUUUCAAGUCAUGGGUAUUAAUUAACACUUGCUUUGUGGCCUAGAAUGUGUCUUCCUCUAGAUGGUUCCAUGGACUAAUGAGAAGACUGUGUAUUCCAUUGUUUCUGGUUGGAAGAGUCUGUAGACAUUUGCUAAAUCUAAUUGAUCUGCUAGAUAGUUUAACUCUAAAAUUUCUUUGUUGAUUUUUAAUUUGGCCUAACUAAAGAUGAGAGAGGGAUAUUGAAGUCAUACAAUAUUAUUUUAUGGGUACCUACCAUAUUUUUUAUGCCCAUUAGUGCUUAUUUUAUGAAAUCAUGAAUUCUAACAUUUGGUGCAAAUAUUUUUGCAUAUAUAUUUUAUUGAUAUGAUAUAUUUUUGUAGUUAUUAUUAUGCAGUGGCCUUUAUCUACUCUGGCUAGUUUUGAUUUAAAGUCUACUUUAUUAGAUAUCAGAAGUUAUACCAGCUUGAUCUUGGCUUUUGUUUGCUUGAUGGAUUGACUUCUGUCCUUUGACUCUCAGUCUGUGGAUAUCUUUACCAGUGAGGUGUGUUUCUUGAACACAACAGUUAGUUAGAUCUAGUGUUUUAGUCUAGUCAGCCAGUAGUCUGUGUCUCUUCAUUGGUGAGAUAAGACUAGUUACCUUUAAGGUUAUUAGUAGAAGGUGUUUACUAAUUCCUGUCAUUUGAUUGGUUGUCUUCUGGUUGAUUGGGUUAUUAUCUGUUCUUUUCUUUCUCCUCUAUUAGUAUUAGGGGAUUUUUAUUGUUAUUGGACUUGAUGAAUUCCUUCCAUAAAUUUGUUAUAAAGCCCGCCUCUUUGACCUAAAACUUAAUUGUUGACCUUUUGCAAGGAAGCCAAAUCAACUUACAGUAAACAUUUGUCCUGAUAAGACUGCUUGGUAGAAAGUGUAAGGUGGAUGGAUACUUUAGCCUAGAGACAGAGACAGAAAUAGAGAGAGAAUAUUAUGGUGAAUAGAGCAACAUAAUCUUAUAGUUGAACUUUCCAAAAGCUUUACAUGCUCUAAAUAAUUAGCAAGUUUGGGUCCAAUCAGAAGUGUAAGAUUUACAUGAGUUAUAUUCUCCAUUUUUACUAAAGACAGAAAAUGAAUCCAUUUGUAAAAUGAAUUCAGGUUAGAUUUUUAAAGUUUUUAAUGUUAAACUCUCGAUUUUAAAAAGGGUCUGAAACCUCUGCCCCUGGCAAUUCUAGUUUUUAGGAAUUGUCCUACCACGAGAUAGAUCUGUUGAUAAUUCUUCAGAAUCCUGGAAUUCCAUGUGUCUUCACUGCAUUCAUUGGCAGGGAACCCAUGCCAGCGGUGUCAGCAGUUUCACCAUUACUGGCCACACAUCAUCACAGAUUAUAUGUUUAUGAUCCAUUCAUAGAUGAUGCUUAUAUUGUUGCAUAUGACUGAUUCCAAGUAUUAAGCAGGGAGUCAUACAUAAUUUGCACACUUUGGACAAAAUGCUUCAUUUGUGUUGUUAUAUGUUAUCUGAUCUAAACAGCUACAGGAGUUGUGUCAUUGUCUUCCAUAGCUGAAGCCCAGCAUUUAACUAAGACAUAGAACAAAGGCUCGGGCUGGGAUGUUGGUUCUGUACUCAGUACUCUGUGCUUCAGUGCAGGAGGCUCAUGCCCACUCAUUUUCUUGUUCCCUUUCCUUCUGACCUAGCUUCCUGGGACUGUCUGUCUGUCUGUCUGUCUGUUUCUCUCUCUUUCUCUUUCAAAAGCCAAAGAACAAAACAAAAAAUCCCCACAAAAACAAAAAUCAAAACAAAUAAGCAAAAUACCAAUAAAACAAACAAACAAAAAAAAAA